rnacentral:rRNA from 1 species
CGAAGUAGAGUGGCGGCUUCGGCUGUCGAGGGUCGAUCCAUUUGGGAACUUGUGUAUGC